GCUCCUCACCCCCAGAGCAGAGUCACGACACACCCUCGGCUCCAAGGAGACCUGGAGGCUUCAGAAGUUGUGUAAUUUCAUAAUGCAGAUCUCCAAAGAGUGGGAUGGAACAUGUGCAGCCCUAAAUGUGAGGGCAGAUGUUUCCAGA